rnacentral:rRNA from 1 species
UGAGGAAUAUUGGUCAAUGGACGCAAGUCUGAACCAGCCAAGUAGCGUGCAGGAUGACGGCCCUAUGGGUUGUAAACUGCUUUUAUAUGGGGAUAAAGUGGGGAACGUGUUCCCUUUUGCAGGUACCAUAUGAAUAAGGACCGGCUAAUUCCGUGCCAGCAGCCGCGGUAAUACGGAAGGUUCGGGCGUUAUCCGGAUUUAUUGGGUUUAAAGGGAGCGUAGGCCGUUUGGUAAGCGUGUUGUGAAAUGUAGGAGCUCAACUUCUAGAUUGCAGCGCGAACUGUCAGACUUGAGUGCGCACAACGUAGGCGGAAUUCAUGGUGUAGCGGUGAAAUGCUUAGAUAUCAUGAAGAACUCCGAUUGCGAAGGCAGCUUACGGGAGCGCAACUGACGCUGAAGCUCGAAGGUGCGGGUAUCGAACAGGAUUAGAUACCCUGGUAGUCCGCACAGUAAACGAUGGAUGCCCGCUGUUAGCACCCAGUGUUAGCGGCUAAGCGAAAGCAUUAAGCAUCCCACCUGGGGAGUACGCCGGCAACGGUG